rnacentral:rRNA from 1 species
CCCUGCCAUUUGUACACACCGCCCGUCGCAUCUACCGAUUGAAUGGAGAGGUAAAAUCUUCGGACCGUGACGCGUGUUCCAUUUUCAUUAAUGGAUGCUGUCGUGGGAAGUGGAUUAAACCUUUCUAUUUAGAG